ACACAUUUGAAACAUCCAAUGCAUCUUGGAACUCGUAGUCAAAUUUACAUCUACAGCAUGUAAGAACGCCAGGGCAAAAGACUUCAAUUCCCAGAAUGCACCUGCACCCACCCAUUCAUUCCCACCAAUCAGGAUCAACGGCAUUAUUUCAAACCGCUACUGACUCGGUCUUCGUUUUCAUGCUAAACAGUACGGCUGAGAGGUCAUGUACCAUGUGGUCGACCUUGCUGAUGCUGAAGAGGUUUCUGUGUUAAAAUGAUGACAUUGAGACAAACAGACCAGUUCCGGCUGCCGUGGAGGUCAACACACCACUGAUCUACUGGCUGCCCUUCAACGUGAUGCCCAGCCGAUGCCUGACCACCGACGGAACCCGCUAAAUCUCCUUAUCUGUUUACAUCCCAUAUAUAUAUGUGUAUAUCUUUUCCUCCUAGGACUUUUUGUUCAUCCCUGAGGUUUUUCUCCUAGGGGUUUUUUCAACCUCGGGGAGUCAACCAACAUUGGCUUAACUUAGCACCCUCUUUUAUACGAGACAUUAUUAAUUUACUCGCUUGUAAGUUUGCUCGCUUGUUCUAUGUUUCCCCUGCUUCUUUUAAUGUAAAGCUGCUUUGAAACAACUACAAAUUGUGAAAAGCGCUAUAUAAAUAAAAUUGAAAUUCAAAUGUCUCUUUCCUGUUUUACAGAUGCAGUGAGGGAGUGAUUUCCCAACAUCGAGGUGGCAGAGAUCCGGGACCUUCUACGGAGGAAGUGCAACAAUGCCAGUUACAAGGCCUCCAGUAGUUCAAAUCAGAGCUAGAUGUGCAUAUAGUACAAGUUGUUCGCAAUUGUUCUCUUCCCGGCAUUUCAAAGAAAGUCGACUGUUUAAGGUUCCCAUUUUGCCAAUAUCUGUUUUGUGUGUUACUUUUGUGUCAAUAAUAAAGAUCCUUUUUUGAAAUGCA